rnacentral:rRNA from 1 species
GACGAACGCUGGCGGCGUGCUUAACACAUGCAAGUCGAACGGAAAGGCCCUGCUUUUGUGGGGUGCUCGAGUGGCGAACGGGUGAGGAACACGAGAGUAACCUGACCUAGACUUUGGGAUAACUUAAGGAAACUGGGGCUAAUACAGGAUAGGAGCUCCUGCUGCAUGGAGGGGGGUGGAAAGUCUCGGCGGUUGGGGAUGGACUCGCGGCUUAUCAGCUUGUUGGUGGGGUAGUGGCUUACCAAGGCAUUGACGGGUAGCCGGCCUGAGAGGGUGACCGGCCACAUUGGGACUGAGGUACGGCCCAGACUCCUACGGGAGGCAGCAGUGGGGAAUAUUGCACAAUGGGCGGAAGCCUGAUGCAGCAACGCCGCGUGCGGGAUGACGGCCUUCGGGUUGUAAACCGCUUUCGCCUGUGACGAAGCGUGAGUGACGGUAAUGGGUAAAGAAGCACCGGCUAACUACGUG